rnacentral:tRNA from 2 species
UGGAGAGGUGGCCGAGUGGUUUAAGGCGCAGACCUGGAAAGUCUGUUUAGGGAAACUUAACGGGGGUUCGAAUCCCCCCCUCUCCGU